GAGUGAAAUCAUUGGAGCAAAAAGCGACAGGUAAAUAAACUUGUGUGACUGUCAUGUGAAUCGGCUUUCUCGGUUGCCUAGGUAAUAUCACUCCGCCGCUGCUGUGGCCUGUGCUACCAACUACAGGGAACAAAGUAUAACUAUCGCAAU